CCUACGGGCGGCAGCAGUGAGGAAUAUUGGUCAAUGGGCGCAAGCCUGACCCAGCAACGCCGCGUGAAGGAAGACGGCUUUCGGGUUGUAAACUUCUUUUUUCAGGGACGAAGCAAGUGACGGUACCUGAGGAAUAAGCCACGGCUAACUACGGGCCAGCAGCCGCGGUAAUACGUAGGUGGCAAGCGUUAUCCGGAUUUACUGGGUGUAAAGGGCGUGUAGGCGGGACUGCAAGUCAGAUGUGAAAACCACGGGCUCAACCUGUGGCCUGCAUUUGAAACUGUAGUUCUUGAGUACUGGAGAGGCAGGCGGAAUUCGUGGUGUAGCGGUGAAAUGCGUAGAUAUUAGGAGGAACACCGGUGGCGAAGGCAGUCUGCUGGACAGCAACUGACGCUGAGGCGCGAAAGCGUGGGGAGCAAACAGGAUUAGAUACCCGGGUAGUC
rnacentral:rRNA from 1 species